rnacentral:piRNA from 1 species
UGAAACUGAUUACUAGAAAUUAUGGGGGA